rnacentral:rRNA from 1 species
UUAUCCGGAAUUAUUGGGCGUAAAGCGUCCGUAGAUGGUCUCUUCAAGUCUGCUGUCAAAGACCGGGGCUUAACCCUGGAAAGGCGAUGGAAACUGAAAGGCUAGAGAGAGGUAGGGGUAGAGGGAAUUCCCAGUGUAGCGGUGAAAUGCGUAGAGAUUGGGAAGAACAUCGGUGGCGAAAGCGCUCUACUGGACCUCAUCUGACACUCAGGGACGAAAGCUAGGGGAGCGAAUGGG